UCCUAAGGAAAUCACCUCGACUCAAAGAUCCUGCCCAGCUAGAAAAAAAAAAAUGCUCAGUGCUCAUUAAACUAAACAAUGGUUCAUUAAAACCAAACACACAUGGGCACAAGGCUCUUCCUGUGCACCUUGAACUUCUCCCCAUCUGGAGUUUCCUCUUGCUGAGAAUGGAAACUAGAAGCUACCAAGUUACCCCCUAGUGAGGGUGUUAGGGGAGAAAUGAAUUACAACAUGUUCCUGACUAGAACAGCCUCAUGGAAUGUACAUGUUUAUUUCCUGCCUUUUGUCCUACUG
rnacentral:lncRNA from 1 species